UACGUAGGCAGCAAGCGUUGUUCGGAUUUACUGGGCGUAAAGGGUGUGUAGGCGGCCUGUUAAGUUCCGUGUGAAAUCUCCCGGCUCAACCGGGAGGGUGCGCGGAAUACUGACGGGCUAGAGUGCGGGAUGGGAGAGUAGAAUUCCUGGUGUAGCGGUGAAAUGCGUAGAUAUCAGGAGGAAUACCGGUGGUGUAGACGGCUCUCUGGACCGCAACUGACGCUGAAACACGAAAGCGUGGGUAGCAAACAGG
rnacentral:rRNA from 1 species